rnacentral:rRNA from 1 species
UACAUGGGGUGCAAACGUUGCUCGGAAUCAUUGGGCGUAAAGCGCGCGUAGGCGGUUACUUAAGUCGGAUGUGAAAGCCCUCGGCUUAACUGAGGAAGUGCAUCCGAAACUGAGUAGCUGGAGUACGAAAGAGGGUCGCGGAAUUCCCGGUGUAGAGGUGAAAUUCGUAGAUAUCGGGAGGAACACCGGUGGCGAAGGCGGCGACCUGGGUCGAGACUGACGCUGAGGCGCGAAAGCGUGGGGAGCAAACAGG